rnacentral:tRNA from 1 species
AUCAAGGUGGCAGAAGUUGAAUGCGUCAGACUUAAAAUUUGGAGAUAAAAUUUAUUUUUCUUGAUA